UCCCAUGUGGCUCAGCUGGUAAAGAAUCCGCCUGCAAUGCGGGAGACCUGGGUUCAAUCCCUGGGUUGGGAA
rnacentral:tRNA from 1 species